rnacentral:sRNA from 1 species
GUUGAGCACGGUGGCGCAUACCUGUAAUCCCAGCUACUUAGGAGAUUGAGGCAGGAGGAUCACAAGUUUGAGGCCAGCCUAGGUGACUUAGUGAGACCCUGUCACUA